rnacentral:rRNA from 1 species
AACGAACGCUGGCGGCAUGCCUAACACAUGCAAGUCGAACGAGACCUUCGGGGCUAGUGGCGCACGGGUGCGUAACGCGUGGGAACCUGCCCUUAGGUUCGGAAUAACUCCCCGAAAGGGGUGCUAAUACCGGAUAAUGUCUUCGGACCAAAGAUUUAUCGCCUUUGGAUGUGCCCGCGUUGGAUUAGCUAGUUGGUAGGGUAAAAGCCUACCAAGGCGACGAUCCAUAGCUGGUCUGAGAGGAUGAUCAGCCACACUGGGACUGAGACACGGCCCAGACUCCUACGGGAGGCAGCAGUGGGGAAUAUUGGACAAUGGGCGAAAGCCUGAUCAAGCAAUGCCGCGUGAGUGAUGAAGGCCUUAGGGUUGUAAAGCUCUUUUACCCGGGAUGAUAAUGACAGUACCGGGAGAAUAAGCUCCGGCUAACUACGUG